AUGGUUGUGGGCGAUCCUUUCCCACUUACUGCCCACUGUGGGCUUGGCAGAGGCCAUAGAUAUGCAGGCGGGGUUGCAGGUACAUUUAUAUAUCUGCAUUGCAGAUACACAGCCUGGGCCUGGAGAGAGCUGCACAGCUACAGCCAUGCGGGCAGACCACGACACAGAGGCAGUUUUAGUUUCCCUUUUGUCUGCCUUGAAGAGAGGGGAACUGGAAGAACGUACAGCAGGUCCUUCUUGCUACAUCAUAUUAUUAUGAUCAUUACCACUAUUGUUAUGGAAGUGCCUGGAAGCCUUAAUCAAGGGUGCAGCUCCACUGUGCUAACGGUGUACCCUCAGAAUGACAGGUGUCUCUUAUUCCUACAAGAAAUGCUCUAAGACCCUGAUUUUGGAAAGCCUUCGCAGCUCCAGAGAGCCUACAGAGAUGUGCCCAGCAGCUGAAGCAUAUGCUAAGGCCAGUGGAUUUAAACACAUGUGUAAGUGCUUCUCUGCAUCCAGGCUUAAGCAAAUACAUGACACUGUAGCAGAAGUUAAGACUGAGGUUUUUCCAAGCCAGAUGUUUCCACAGCCUUUUUCUGAGCCCGCUGUACGCAGCAAUAACCCACCGCCCCUCAGCUUCAGACCCUAACAUGUUAGAGAGCCCUUGUUUAAAGAAACCUUCUUAAUACUAAAUACAAGAAUGAAAGAAGCAAUAUAAAACUCAAAGGUCAGCUGUACGCAGCAAUAACCCACCGCCCCUCAGCUUCAGACCCUAACAUGUUAGAGAGCCCUUGUUUAAAGAAACCUUCUUAAUACUAAAUACAAGAAUGAAAGAAGCAAUAUAAAACUCAAAGGUCAGAAUUGUCAGUCUCUUGCUGAUGGAGAGGAAGGAACUGGAAACCUCCACGUAUGAACACUUUCAAGUAAAGCAGAAUUCACCCUCCCCUCUCUAUGUAGGGGCACUCACGCCAAGAACCAACCCAGACCAAUACUCCAUGGAGGUCCUAUUUCUUUUGCGGAUUUUAACUGAUCUUUGCUACAAAUAAAUGCAUGAAAAACGAAAUAAAAUCA
rnacentral:lncRNA from 1 species